CAUGAUUCUAUUUAACUAUGAUGACCCGAGUUUUGAUGAGUAUUUGAAGAGCAUUAUAAAAAGAGUGCCCUUCUCCCUCGUUGACAUGUGCCCUAUCUAUGAACUUAUAUAGUUUGUAUAUGAAAAAAAUCCUUCACCUCACUGGAAAUCUCUCUCUCUCUCUCAAUUAAUAAGAAAUAAAAUCAAGAAAAUCUUGAUGCGUACACCAUGCAUAUCAUAAACUAUAACAAAAUGUGCCUGUGGAUGGUGGGUUUAGUUUGUGGACCAUGACGUGGGUUCAUCACUAACUCUCCUUCUUUGUUUGCGUCUGUGAAGCCAGGAUGCCUCCCUUCAGUCACGUCAUUUUUCGUUUUGCAUUUUGAACUUGUACUCUCAAAAUUAUCGGGAAAAAUGAAUAGACAUACAUAGACAAUGAAAUAUUAUUAAUUCCAUAUGAACAAACAAGCUCCUCUAAUCCCUCCUCAUCUUCAUAGAGCAUUACACAUGUCGUUUUGAUCAUUUAAUAAAAAAUCAAGAGGUUGAGGGCCGACACAUGUGGAUUCCCUAUCAAGGGACAACUCCACCACUGCCAUCACAUUACCCGAAACCUAUCUUUCCCCCAAAAAUCACCAUCACUGUUCCUCUGCGGUCGGGGACACCUCGGUCCCAUCCUCCACAUAAUCAUCACCAUUGAUCUGAUCAAGCACCAGAACUAAUCCCAUGGCAAACGCCCCAUCAAAGCCAGGCCUUAAGCGGAGAGAAAAAACAUCCUUGCCAAGCACCACGUUAGUGGAGGCAUCCACUUUGCGUUUGAUGUCAGCCACAGAUUCUUUUUUUGUAUUCAAGAUUGUGCAGCAUCUAUUCGCGAAGGACCCUUCUAUCUGGUACUCUUCCCCUGGAUUCUCAUACACUUCUACGGCCACACUGCACCGUCCGAUUAUUGAUGAUCUUCUUACGCUGAAGAUCGGUUUCUGUCCGUCUGUUCUUUCCCCUAUAUAGCCUUCCCAUCGGUGAUGUAGGCUUGGUCUCUGUUCAAAUAUGUCACCGAUUUGAAUCAGUUGGUUUCAAUAUAAAAAAUUGAAAUAAAUCCAUACCCAGAAACGAAAUUAGAAACUACAGAUAAUACGAAUAAGAAAUUUUUAAUUUUUUUCCACUUUUGUGCUACGCAAUCAUUAAUAAAACUCAAUGACUCGGAUCCGAUGAACUGGAAACUAGAAAACAAAACAUACCCAUAAAUCCAAAUCACAUAUUAAGCCCAUUCUCAAUGAAUUCAUUGCGUUGUGAUAUUCGUUGAAUGGAAGUGGGAGAGAAAGAUUAUACCUUUUUCCUCACAGUGAGAAGACAACGGCCAUGAGCGUCCAUGAGAACUACUUCACCGGUAUCGCGCGUACCAGGGCCGUAGGAAUCAACUCGGAAGACUAACUGACCACUGCAAUCGUAGACGGUGAAGCCAUCAUUAGCAAAGAACAAAGAGGUUUUAAGCACUGUGAGAUGCUUCUCCUCUUCGUAUACAAACCCACUAUCCACAACCAACCCUCCCUUCAUCUACUUUCCUCUUUCUUCUGGGAUCUUAAACGAAACUCACUUUGUUUGUAACUUUGGCGUUCGCCUACGGAGAAAUAUGACCGUUUGGAAGACCAGAAGCGUUGAAGCGAAAAUAUAUAAUGCUCGCAAAGGAAGCGAGAGAGAAAGUAACGCGUACGGUACCCGGGGAUUAAUGCUCUCAUGCGCGGGCUAGGAGUAGAAUAUCUCUGGUCACUAGUUCUCUCUCUACCGCCCCUCCUUGCCCUCUCUAUGUCCUGAUUUAUAGGAAAACUUAUCUUGGGAAUCUUUGGACAGCUGGGAGAGUGAGUCGGCUCAGUACUAACUCGAGCAACUGGGAGAGUGAUUUGAAUAUUGUUGUGGUAUUGAAAAUGUGGAUUUAGGUAAAGCAAAUCUG
rnacentral:misc_RNA from 1 species